AUUGAACGCUGGCGGCAGGCCUAACACAUGCACGUCGAACGAGUGGCGGACGGGUGAGUAAUGUCUGGGAAACUGCCUGAUGGAGGGGGAUAACUACUGGAAACGGUAGCUAAUACCGCAUCCCAUCGGAUGUGCCCAGAUGGGAUUAGCUAGUCGGUGGGGUAAAGGCUCACCUAGUCGACGAUCCCUAGCUGGUCUGAGAGGAUGACCAGCCACACGGGAACUGAGACACGGUCCAGACUCCUACGGGAGGCCGCAGUGGGGAAUAUUGGAAAAUGGGCGAAAGUCUGAUGCAGCCAUGCCGCGUGUAUGAAGAGGGCCUUCGGGUUUUAAAGUACUUUCAGCGGGGAGGCGUUACCCGCAGAAGAAGCACCGGCUAACUCCGUGCCAGCAGCCGCGGUAAUAC
rnacentral:rRNA from 1 species